UAGAGAUUAGGACAGAGGGGAGUGUUAAACGUUGUAACACAAAUAUGAAAUGAGGUUGACUGGGUAAGUUUCACGGAGGAACUGGAUUACCAAGAGGAGAAAGGCACACAGGAGAAGAAUCAGGGAAGUGACCAGGCACAGUGAUAUAAACCUCUAGUCCCAUCAUGGAGAGGCUGCAGGAGACCCGGUGACUGGAAUCGGUACAAGAAAUCGCAAAGCUGCCUAGGCUUUUAUUCCUUAACAUUUCAAGACUGUGUCCAUUAAAUGCAAGCAAAACAGGAAGAAGUAUUGGCAGGACAGGAGAAGUGACGUAUCCAGAGGGUCCUUACUAAAGAUGUUGCUGAGCCGUAGAAGGUCAACAAAGUCCCAGCCACAGAAGCGUCGAGAGCAUGGACGAGGCUACUUGCUGUGGAUAGCAUUUAAGUCUGUCAGCUUAUCAAGUGUACAACACUUCUGUCUUGUACUCUUACUGUGUGGCAAACUUAAAACCAACAGGAGUUGGUUUUAACUCUCUGAAGGGAUAGAUCCCCAGUGCGUCCCCCCCCCAUCGUCACUUCCCAGGUGAGCCCACAUUGCUGAUUGGAUAUUGUGGGAGUGACCGUGAAUUCUGAAGUCAGGUCAUAAAUGGCACUGCUGCUUCCAUCUUGUAUCUUAAGUCACUUGCUCUGAUGGGAGCUGGCUGCUAACACAGCCCUGUGGCAUGGUCGCUGAGGGGUUGACUUCUCCGACCCACAGCCAGCAGCGGCUUGCUUGUGACUCACCAAACUGGAAAGCAGAUUUGAGAGCUCUAGACAGGCCUUCAGAUAACCACAUCCCUGGCCCACAUUUCAACAGUGGUCUCCCAAGAGACACUGACUCAAAACUAACCACAUUUAUCUCCUUGUCCCCUCACAGAGACCCCCAAACAAUAAAAUUCUUUCAAAGUCCUUAUCUAUAGGACUGUGUAUCUGUGUACAUUUUGGGGUACAUAGGAAUGAAUAACUGAUGAAUGAUCACACAGGGCUGCCUAGAGGCUCAAAGGGCAGAAGCUUUUGCCACCAAGCCUGUGUUUGAACCCUAGGACCUAUGAGGUAGGAGAAUUGCAAUCUGUUUCUGACCUCAAACACACAUCAAGGCUUGGGACAAGGGGGCCAUAGUGAUACCCACACAAGCACUGCAGCAUAGGGUGGGAGGAGGGCAGGGGCACAUCUACAUAUGCGCUAUGGCUUCUUCCCACCCUAAAGUCUUUCACUCUUGUUUGAGUUGGGUUGGUUUGGAUCAGAGUCAGUAUAAGUGGAUCUGUCUGGCUUCAAACUCACUAUGUAGCCCCAGCUGGCUCAUACUGACAGGAACUUCUUGCCCUCAGUACAGGUAUUCUAGUACAGAACUCUACAUAUUGCUCUCUUAAAAAAAAACUUUUUUUAAAAUUUGUCCUUCCUUCCCUUUUUCUCUUUCUUUGUGAGUGUACAGUGCCUCCGCACGUGUGUGGAGGUCAGAAAACAGCCUUCUGAAGUGAGUUCUCUCCUCCUGCCUCCCGGGCUCCGGAAACGAAACCACCAGGCCCCAGCGCCAUCUUGUUGACCUUCUUUUCCCGUUCUUUCUCUCAUAACGGCCCAUAAUUCUACAGAGACACAAAAUUACACUGAAUCCAGUAUUUUACAGUCCUAAGUCUUGUGACUGAUAGUCUACUGGCCCAUCUCGUUACAACAGCUCCCACUUGACCAGAUUAAAAGUUUGUCUUUUACUUUAUUCGAUACAUUUUUGUCUUUUGACUAUGUGUUUGUCUGUGUACCAAUUGUGGGGUGAAAUAAUCUUUUUUUUUUUUUGCACACUGUGAAU